AUUCUGAGGACACCGUUCCUUAUUGAUUUAUACCAAUAUUAUGUACAAGGAUUUUUCUAGGAUGGUUAUUUUGCGUGAUACAUGUACAGUUUCGCAUUAUUGGAAGGCAUGAGUCAUAAAUAUAUUUCUGUUUGUGGCAUCAUUUCCUAAACGUUGUCAGGGUCAUGUGUUAGUGAGUUGUAGGAGGAAGUCGGUGUGAUAAGGAUAUAUAGCGUGAACUUGCAAGAGUAAAGGUUUUUGGUGAUAAACAAGUGAAAUCUUCAAGAUGGCUGCAGGUAUGCCAGAUAGGAAUUUCCUCAUCACUGUCUUCCAACAGGUGGACAGAGAUCGCAGUGGCGCUAUUGAUGCCAGAGAAUUACAGUCUGCUCUUUCCAAUGGCAAUUUCACGCCAUUCAAUCCAGAAACAAUUAAGCUUAUGAUUGGAAUGUUUGACAAAAAAGGGACUGGCACAAUCAACUUUGAUGAGUUUGGAGCUGUCUGGAAGUAUGUAACAGAUUGGCAGCAGUGCUUUAGAUCAUUUGAUCGAGAUGGUUCGGGCAACAUUAGUAAAGAUGAGCUGAAAACUGCUAUUACAACAUUUGGAUACAGGUUUUCAGAAAAGUUCUAUGAUGUCCUGAUGAAACGUUUUGAUAGGAGUGGAAAAGGUGGAGUGUACUUUGAUGACUUCAUUCAGUGCUGUAUUGUCCUUCAUACGUUGACACCUGAAUUCCGUCAACAUGAUCAGGAGCAGAAAGGAACAGCAGUGUUGUCCUAUGAACAAUUUACGAUGAUCAUGGCAAAAAUUAUAUAAUCUGGAUUAUGGUUGAUUCCAAGAAAGCCCUGGUUGUCUCUUCUGCUACUGUUGAAAACUCUGACGCAAGCGUUUAGCCAAUAUGACCAGGAUCGCGAUGGUGUCAUCACGAUCUCAUAUGAACAGUUUCUCCAUAUGGUGUUUAGCAUCAGGACUUAAUACUGCAUAAUGUAAAUCCUUAGGAACACCAGUCUUUCCAUAUUGAUAAAUGAUUAACUUUACUUGUUAAUAAGAUGUGCUAAUGUAACCGAAAUGGACCUCAUUCAGAAAUUAAAUUUAUCCGUAAUGAGGUUUUUUAUUCCUUAUAUUUUUGUAAAUCAUAUGUGCCAGGAUGUGUAUUAUUACUGUUAUUCUUUGUUACUGAUCAACAACUAUGGGUGCCUUUUUACAUAACUGUUUUUUCCUGUUAUAUGUAGCAGCUCUUGUUGGAGUAUGGCCACUAUGCAUUAUAUCUUUUCACAUUGUAUUUUGAACAUUUCAAAAAGGUACAUUAUUAAAUGUCUUACUGUUCUAGCAUAAUUCAUUGGGUUGAUCAAAUCUUAGUGAUUUAAGGGAUGAAUGUUAUAUACAAAGCUUUCUACUAUGUAAUAUCAUGGAUCUUUAGAUAAGGAUAUAACUUUAUGUUAUGUAGUUUUAUUGAGAAUAGUUGGCUACAUUAUUAGACAACCUAUUUUAAAGAUUGUUUAAUAUCUGAAUUCACUUACCCAUGAAGUAUUUAAAGUAAUAAAAUAGUUCAAUACUCUU
rnacentral:misc_RNA from 1 species